UAUUCACAUUGUUUUACCUAUUUCCAAACAGUUGUAUUUAGAAAUUUGUAGCAAACUCUGUAGAGCUUAUGACUUGUACUACCGGUUUUGGGAAUUUAUAAAUUUUAUAGAGAUUUCUAAUUUAGAAAUUGUUAGAUGUUAUUUAAUUGUUGUUGUUAUUUAGUAAAUGUUAGGCUUACCUAGACCCUAAGACUAGGUGCCAUCACGAUACCCAACGGAGGGAAAAUUGGGUCGUGACAAGUUGGUAUCAGAGCUCUAGGUUCAUAGGUACAACGAUUCAUAAGCGAGUUUAGUAGAGUCUUGCGGAUCGGUACGGAGACAUCUGUACUUAUCUUCUAGAGGCUACGGAACUAUUAGGACAAUCUCACUUCUUUCAUUCCUAUCGUGCGAACUUAUUGACCGUGGAGUUUGGACUUUUAUCAUUUAUUCUCUCACAGGUGGUAAGGACCCGAGCUGCAGUUAUCGACGACGCUGCUCCCGGAGCAGGUAUCGCUAGAGGCAGAGGCAGAGAUCGACGAGGCACACUUGCCGCAGCUAGAGCACCUACCAGAGCAGCAGUAAAGGAGCCGUCAGUAGCUCUGGUUGGGGGACAGGUACCGGAGUCGCCUGUUGUUACCUCAGACUUCAUGAGACCUUAGCACAGUUCCUGAGCAUGUUGGGUACAUUGGCUCAGGCGGGGUUGAUUCCGAUUGCACCAGCUACUUCACAGACCGGGGUAGGAACCCAGACUCCCGCCGCCCACACUCCAGAGCAGCGAGUUCAUAUUGGUCAUGUUCCUGUUGUCGUGACGACACAACCUGUGAUUUACGUUCAGCCCGUGGUUAGGGCAGCAGCAUCCGAGGAAAAAUAACUUAGACUUUGGAGGUACAAGAAGUACCACCCUCUUACCUUCAGUAGAUUGGAGAAAGAUGAUGCCUAGGGUUUCCUGGAGGAGUGUUACCGCAUUCUUCGUACUAUGGGUAUUGUGGAGACGAGCGGGGUUGCUUUUUUUUACGUUCUAGCUCAGGGGAGCGACUUAUUAGUGGUGACAGGCGUAUGAGUUGGGUAGCCCGGCCGAGUCAGCUUUACUUACAUGGGUUCAGUUUUCAGAAUAUUACUAAGAAAGAGGACAAACGAGGUCAAGAGAGAGAGGACAAUGAGGCUAGGAGGCCUAGUAGACCAGAGAGAUCUACUGGUCCAUAUUUUGGAGGCACAGUACGGCAUGGUAGAGGUUUUGUGGGUCAGCCAGUUUUGUUUGCACUUUAGGCUUCGCAUAGUAUUUCAGUUUCUCAUGGGUCUCACUGUACCCGUACCACACAAUUCCCAUAGCCACGUCAGUAGAGAGGUUUCUUUCAAUGUGGUGAUACCAGCCAUAUUGUGAGAGAUCGUCCUAGACUCCGGACAGGUGUGUCACAGCAGAGUAUCCGGGCGAGUAAAGGGCACCCAAGAGAAGAAGGCCCGAACUGUUGAUGUGUUUCAUAUAGUAGGCUUGAGUCUGUUGCGCCAGAUGAUGCCAUACAGGUAUGCUUUUCAUUUGUUAAAGAAGGGCACCAUUUGUAUUUUGUUUCAGUUCUGCUUAUCGGGGUGAGUCCCCUAUUUGUUGUCCCACCUAUGGGUGAGUUCAUGACAUUGUAUUAUGUUUAGGUGUUCGCCUCUGUUAGGAUAUUCUAUGAGUGAUAGCCGUAUCUAUCAUUGUUUUAAUUCAUUAUUGAAAGUUACGAGACUAGAAGAGAAUUCAUGUUGUCUAUUAUGGAAGGUUUGAUGUGAUUCCUAAGUAAUUUGGUUACGAUUUGUGAUUUGAUACUCUACCAGGGUGAGAGUUCAAUAAGUGUUGUGAUUUUAUUGGCAUAAUUGAGUUAGUGGAAGAUUUCAAUUGGUAUGAUGUGUAUCCGGCUUGUGAUUCAGAGUUGAGGGUGAGACCCUCGCGAUUCCAUAUGAUUUAAUAUGUUUGAGUCGGGCUGCGUGCCGCGGUGGAAGUUAUAUCAGGAUGAGGUUCUUGUAAUUUAUUCGUAGUAUUGUACUGAUAGAGAGUUGUGCAUGUCGGGCUUGUUUGAUAUUUCUCUUAUGUGUUUCUCCUUACAUAUUCAGUCAUUUUCGUUAUGUACUUCUUCAGUUUUAUUUUGGGGGUGUGUGCCCGGUGGUUUUAGUUAUGACUUGUUAAUUCAGGUGUAUAGUUAAGAGGUCUUCAUGUUCCUUGCAUAGUUGUCAAUAGUGUGGAGGUUUGAAACAGGGUUAUAAGGGAUAUUAAGCUAAAUACUGGUGUUGGUUUGAUUAUGGUCAGCUAUUGUGAUCGGAAAUGUUAUUAUGGACCUAUGUGUGGCAUGUCAUGUUGAGUGGUAGUACCUUGCGGAUGUAGGCAUGAGCUAUCGCAGCUGGUUGAGACCGAUACUAGGUAUGGAUUUAGAAACGGGUCUUUUGGAGAUGAAUAGAAGUUGAGAAUUUUGACUCUAAGGCUUAUCGGUGUUGGUAGAAAGGAUAAAUUACAGUUGAGAUGGUGUCGUUAGGCUUAUGUGGAUUGGGGUGACGUGGGGUCACCCGCGGGUGUAUGCUGGAUAUGUGCAUUCAGUGAUUUGAAGACGUCGAGGUGGUUCUUGGCACGUUCGAGGACGAACGUUUGUUUAAAAGGGGAAGGAUGUAACGACCCGGCCGGUCGUUUUGAGAAUUAAAGUCCCGUUCGGUGGCAUAAGGUCCUAAACAGCUUCGUAUUAUGUGCAUUGACUUGCGUGCGUGGUUGAAUUCAAUUACCGGACGAUUCAGAGUGAUUUGGGACACUUAGUCCCUAAAAAGGAAGCUUAAGUCUUAGGAUUUUGACCGUAGUCGGAACUGUGUGAAGAUGACUUUGGAAUGGAGUUCUGUCAGUUCCGUUAGCUCCGUUGGGUGAUUUUGGAUUUAGGAGCGUAUCCGGACUGUGAAUUUAGGUCUUUAGCUGAUUUAGGCUUGAAAUGGCGAAAGUCGAAUAUUUAGAGAUUUUGACCGAAAGUGGACUUUUUGAUAUCGGGGUCGGAUUCUGAUUUUGGAAGUUAGGGUAGGUCCGUAAUGUUGAGUAUGACUUGCCUGCAAAAUUUGACGUCAUUCCGGGUUGAUUUUGUAGGUUUUGGCGCGGGUUGUAGAAGUUGGAAGAUUUGAAAGUUCAUAAGUUCGAUUCUUGGUGCAAUUCGUAAUUUCGUCAUUGUUUGAUGUGAUUUGAGACCUCGAGCGAGUCCGUGUUUGGUUAGGGAACUUGGUUGUAUGCUUGGACGGGGUUCCGGGGGCCCGAGGUGUGUUUCGGACGAGUUUCGGAUGUUUUUUGUGGUUUUGAGCCGCCCAUAGGUCAUUUCACACGAGAAGUUCAUUUAGAGUAUCGGUCUGUCUUCUUUGAGGUAAGUAUCUUGCCUAACUUCGUGUGGGGGAACUAUCCCUUAGGAUUUGAGUCUUCUAUGCUAAUUGUAGUCCGCGUACGCGAGGUGACGAGUACGUGCUCAGACUUAUUUGUGGAAAAUUGGCCUUUUUAGGUUCUUAGGUCCUUGUAUUCACUGAUUAUGCAGUUGUUAUGUUAUGGAUAUGUCUCUCAAUUACUAAUUUCACUUCUACCUUCUUUAAUUAGAGUUAAUUUCUUCAUGAUCCGCCCGAGUUAUUUAUUUGAGUCAUCCGUGCCUUAACUGAAAUUGUUAUCUCUUCUAUUGCCAUGUUAUCUUCCCCUAACUGCUUAUCUCUUUUGUAUUCGUUCAUCCUUAAUUGAGGCUAUGAUUAUCUUUCUACGGCUUAUCCCUAAUUGAAUUUGUUGUAUCUCCUUCUUAAUUUCCCAACCUUAAAAGAAGUUAGAUAUCUUAUAUUUUAGUUGACUUGUCCUUAUUUGGAAUUAUUUGACUCGUGUUAGUUUCCUCAUUGUUGAACCGUAUAUUGUGGGACCGUUGUUACAUAUUGUCUCCUUCCUUGUUGAGUUGUUCUUAUUACGCCUAGUAUUCUCUGUCGUAAUUAUUCCUUGUGAACUAGUUCUACCAUUUCCUUGUGAUUUAAAGUUCUUGAGUUGAUUUACUUGUCGCGNNNNNNNNNNNNNNNNGGCUAUGUCAGGAUUGAUUUGUGAUGACUUGUCAUGGCCUGGGGGCAUUUUGUUGUUGUUGUUUGUUGCAUAUUUACUUUGGGACUACGAGGCAGUACCCCGGGAGAUCCCCUUAUCUUGCAUAUUUACUUUUGAGAUUACGAGGCGGUACUUCGGGAGAUCCCCUGUUAAACAUUCACUUUUGGGAUUACGAGACGGUAUCUCGGGAGUGCCCUUUGUUGACGUCUCUCUAUGGUCGCACUUGUCUUUGGUUAUUUUUUAUUUUCGAGUUAGGUCAAUUCUUAUGAUCUGCCGUGAUGUAUUAUUUGAUUUUAUUAUGUGUUUGUAUUUCCUUAUUGUAUUGUGUUGGCUUGGGCUUUUUGGUACGAGACUCUGAAGAUUUAUAUUCCUGGUUUCUACCGAUUUUGAUGACUGAGUUGUUUUAAAUAAAAGAAGUUACUAUUAUGUUUUAAAUUAAUAAGUUUUACAUCCGAAGCAAUAGAUUAUCUGAUGUUUUAUUUAAAUUGAAAUGUCAUUCUUCUUUACUCAAACUAUUUCUAAAAUAAACUCAUUUCUUUGUUGAAUUCUUAUUUGGUUUAAAAUUUUCAACCUUACUUCGUUGAAAAUAAAUUAAUCGUGUGGAUCUUAUGUAUUGAAAUAAUUGGCACCAGAGUUGUCAGUGCGGUUAUGAAGUGUAAUGAGGGCACAUGAUGCCUGGUAUUAGUCUUCAGGUAUUGAGAUCCGUGAGUUGUGAAUAGUAUGAGGUCCGGUACCUCGUGGAGUUUAUUGACUAAAACCUGGGGCGAAAGCGGUCGUUUAUUGAGUUGUUACUUGUCCUUUCUUUAUCUGUGAUUAACGGAUUUAGGUUGUGUUUCCAUUCGUUCUUCUAUAUCAUUAUUAUGGUGUUCCACUGUUAGUUGUUGUUUUCCUUCCUUAUUGAAAUUUCCGUAUUAUUUGCCACUUCGCGUAGUCUUUAUGUGGAUAUCAUACUCUGUUGUUCCUAUACUUAUACUUGUUCAAGUUAUUUAGUCCAGUAGGUGUCUUGAUUGUUCCUCGUCACUACUCCAUCGAGGUUAGUUUUGAUACUUACUGGGUACCGCCGUAGUGUACUCAUACUACACUUCUGCAUAUUUUUGUGCAGAUCCAGGUAUUUCGAAGUCAGUUGAUCAUUAGCUAGUUAUGCGGAUUGUUGCUGUGGAGACUCAAGGUAAACCUGUUGCUUUGUUCGCAGGCUUUGGAGUCACCUUCCUAUUUUGUAUUCACACUGUUUUAUCUAUUUCCAAACAGCUGUAUUUAGAAAUAUGUAGCAAACUCUGUAAAGCUUAUGACUUGUACUACCGGUUUUGGAAAUUUGUAAAUUUUAUAGAGUUUUCUAUUUCAGAAAUUGUUAGAUGUUAUUUAAUUGUUGUUGUUAUUGAGUAAAUGUUAGGCUUACCUAGUCCCUAAGACUAGGUGUCAUCACGAUACCCAACGGAGGAAAAAUUGGGUCGUGAUAGAAGCGCAGUCGAAAGUCUAAUGUAUGCUAUAGUGUGCACUACACCUGAUAUCUAUCAAGCAGUUGGCUUGGUAAGUAGAUAUCAAAACGACCUAGGUUUAGCGCAUUUGCAAACAGUAAAGAGGAUCAUGAGAUAUCUGAAGGGGACUGCUGAUUAUGCGCUUUGUUACCAAGGCGGCAAGGAUCUGCGAUUAAUUAGAUACAAUGAUGUUGAUCAUUGAGGAGAUCUAGACGAGAGGAAGUCUACCUCAGGAUAUGUUUUCUUACUCGGUGAUGGCGCCAUAUCAUGGAGUAGUAAGAAACAAUCAUGAGUAUCAUUAUCUACAAUGGAAGCCGAAUAUGUGGCUCUCGUAUCAGCAACACAAGAAGAUGUUUGGUUGAAAGAGUUCUUAGAACACUUGUUGGAUAUCGCAAAACUUACUGAACCAGUGUUAGUCUACUGUGAAACUAAAGAUGCAAUAUCUUUUACUAAGGACCUUAAGUUUCAUUGUAAAACCAAAUACAUAGAUAUCAAGUAUAACUAUGCGAGAGAUAUGUUUACACGCAAGGUAGUGAAUGUGAAGUAUGUGCCUACAAAAGAUAUGUUAGCAGAUCCAUUGACCAAACCUUUGUCUGGAGAUGCAUUUGUGAGACACACUAGGUCUCAAGGCUUGCGUAGAAUUUGAUAAUCUUCAUUUUGUUAUUCAUUUUUUCGUGUUCACAAAACUGAUGUUCUUUAAUUAUCAAUAAAAUUGAUUUACAUUCAUACAUAUUUUUAUUGUUAAAUAUAAUGUAUAUUCUUUGUUCAUUUUUUUUAUAAGUAUGUCGAGUAGACAAGAGGUUAUCCUUCUCACACAAGCAACUGCCUCCUUAUCUUAGUGAUGUGAGGAGAUGAGACAUGAUUUUAAGCAAAAUUAUCAAAAGGAUAAUUUGAGAGCUAUUCGCUUAAAAUCAAAAUGUGGCUUAAAUAAUGACAUAAGGUCAUUAGGGUGAAAAAUGUUCACCUAGUCUACUUUGUGAGCCAUAUGUUAGUUAAAUAUGAUUUUGUAGAUCAAGGAACUCAAAUUUGAUACUUAUGGUAUCUAAAUAUCAUCUAAACAAUAUUCUUUAUGAGAUUAAGACAUACGCUCCUUGAGAAAAAGGAGAAAAUGUUGUAGCAUGUUACUUACCAUGUGUGCUAAUAUCGACCAAUUGGGUUAACAUAAGUCCAUUCUCAACUUAUUGUUGUGUGAGACCCAGAGCUUUUUUGUUGGCUCUAGAUUGUGUACCCUCAGAGACUCCGAUCAGAUACUUGAGACUUAGUGUGAUGUUAGCCAUCUUAGUGUGUUUCCAAAAGAUCAUGUACACAGAUUCGAUCUUGUAAUGACCCGGCCGGUCAUUUUGAGUGUUGUAGCUCCGUUCUCCCAUUUACUACUUAUUUUAUGCUCAAUUGUCAUUAUCUGACUUGCCGGGAUAAUUGGUUUGGUUCCGGGGGUAUUUCGGAAUAAGUUGAGACACUUGUCUCAAGGUUGGAAGCUUAAGUUGAAAAGGUUGACCGGAUGUUGACUUAUGUGUAACGGCUCCGGAAUAGAGUUUUGCUGGUUCUGAUAGCUCCGUAGGGUGAUUUUGGACUUAUGAGUGUAUCCGGAAAGUGAUUUGUAGGUCCGUAGUGGAAUUUGGCUUGAAAUGGCAAAAGUUGGAAAGUUAAAAGUUUGGAAAGUUGAGAAGUUUGACCGAGAAUUGACUUUGUGAUUACCGGGCUCAGAUUUUGAUUUUGGAAGUUGCAAUAGGACUGUUAUGUCAUUUAUGACUUGUGUGCAAAAUUUGAGGUUAAUCGGAGUUGAUUUGAUGGGUUUCGAUAUCGAUUGUAGAAGUUGAAAUUUCUUAGUUUUUGUUAGGCUUGAAUUGGGGUGUGAUUCGUGUUUGUGAUGUUGUUUAAUGUCAUUUGAGGCCUCGACUAAGUUCGUAUCAUGGUUUUGGACUUAUUGGUAUUUUUGAUUGAGGUCCCGGGGGACUCAGGUUCGUUUCGGAUGGUUAACAGAUUGAAUUUAGCUUAAGUGUUAUGCUAAGUUGCUUCAGAUCUGGUGUCAUCGCACUUGCGGUGGGAUUGGUCGCAGGUGUGGAGCUGCAAAAGCGGCUAAGUUAGUGCAGCUACAAAGAGGAUGAAGGUCACUAGGGGUCGCAAGCGCAGAAAGGUUUCCGCAGAUGCGGAUGCGUAUCUGCGCAUGGUCGACCACAAAAGCUGAUUUGGGCAGGCUGUGUUGGAGUAGCAAAAGCGAGGAAUGGUUCACAAAUGAGUUCCCGGAGGUGCAAGGCUAGGACCGCAGGUGCGCUAGGUCGGAUGUUAAGUGGGUUUUGCAUAAGCAAAAUUUUCUCCGCAAAAGCGGGAGCGCAGGUGCAGAAAUGCCUGGGCAGUGUUUAAAUUCGAGGGUUUCCGAGAUUCUAUCAUUUUUGGACUUUGGCAACUCGGAUUAAGGCGAUUGUUGAGGGGGAUUUCGAGGGGUUUCUUGAGGUAAGUCUCUCUUGAUCAUUUUUAUGUAAUAAUAUUGUUUCCCCAUUGAAUUUCCCACCUAGUUUGUGUGUUUUUGAGGUGAAAGUUUUUGAGUUUUAGCCUAGGGAUUAGAGAGUUAAAUUUGGGGAUUUGAGUGAAGAUUUGGUGUUGGAAUUUUGUAAAUUUGGUAUGGUUGGACUGGUUAUUGAAUGAGCAUCCGAAUUUUAUAACUUUUGUUGGUUUUCGAGGCGUAGGCCCGGGGGUUGACGUUUUAGUUGACCUUUUGAUUAAGAAUUUAACAUUUUCAUAUGGAAUUGAUUCCAAUAGCUCGAGGUUAUUGUAUCAAAUUGUUUGUGUCUAGAUUCUAGGCGUUCGGAGGCUGAUUCGCGAGGCAAGGGCUUGCUAGUGGAGUUAUUCGAUUUGCUUGAGGUAAGUAUCAUAUUUAAACUCGGUUGAGGCACCAGCUGUCUGAAUUGUUGUGAUAGUCACGUGCUUUUGGGUGCGCACAUGCGUGGGGAUGAGCCCAUGUGUGGGCACCAGGGUUAUAUAUUCAUGCUUGGUUUAUACUCGGGCUCUUAUAAGCCUAGAAUUGACUGUUAAGCUUUAAACUAUGAUAUCUCAUAUGUUGUAACAGUUUAUGUGGUCUAUUUGAGUCAUGCUGAAGCUACUUAGAGGUUUAACCCCUGAACAAACUUGUUAAAUGCGUUUCAGUGAUGAAAUUACCGAUUUGAGCUGCGAUAGCACGCUCUGUACAUGCCUACACUUUAGCAUGUCAUUUAUAACAGUACAUGGACAUGAAAAUCUUAUUUCAUUCAUCAUAUACAUGUAUAAUUGCUUUAUUGCUUCUGUAUGAUAUGUUUGGACUGAUGGCCUAUGACUAUGCCGAGCGGAUUACGUUAUUCGCAUGUGAGUUGUCCGUGCAGCAUGUGAGUUGUCCGUGCGGAUCCAUAUAUUGAUAUUAUUGGCACGUGAGUUGUCCGUGCGGGUCCAUAUAUUGAAAAUAUUGGCACGUGAGUUGUCCGUGUCGCAUGCGAGUUGUCCGUGUCAUACGUGAGUUGUCCGUGCAGGUUCUAUUGUUAGCACGUGAGUUGUCCGUGCAGUGUGUGGAAGUUGUACUUCUUGAACAUUUAUCUGAUUUACUUGUUUCUUUCCUCUACAUGCCAUAAUACUAUCUGAGUAGUGUAUUUGAGAACCUGUGCACAUGUACACAUGGAUAUUCUUCUCACGAAGCUUGAUGAGUUAGUUUUAAAUAUUGUUCUGUGUUGGUUGGAAAGGCAGAAUUUCACCGAAAUAACUAGUAUCCUCAAUAAUUUAAGAUUCUCUUACCUUGCCUUGUUUAUUUACGAUACUUAUUGAGUUGGUUGUACUCACACUACACCAUGUACCUCGUGUGUAGAUCUAGGUAUUUUUGGGCACGGUGGUUGCUGAUCGUGGAGUUUUAUCUAUUCAGAGAUUAUCGAGGUAGUUGCUUUGCCGUCCGCAUACCUUGACUCUCCUCCCCUAUCUCUCAAGUUUUACUUAUUUUGUUCUCUUUUUUUAGACAGUGUAUAUGAUGUAUUAUUGUAUAGAUGCUCAUGUACUUAGUGUCACCUAGGUUUUUGGGAAAUUCUGUAUUGAGUUGAGGCGUUUGCAUCCAGUUUUAUGAAAUUUUUACUUACUUAAACCUAUUUCAGUAUAUUUUGAAUUUUAAAAUAUUGGUUUGUGUGAGUUGUCGGCUUGCCUAGUAUCAUGAUAGGCACCAUCACGACAUGUUGAUUUUUGGGUUGUGAUAAGUUGGUAUCAUAGCCUAGGUUACAUAGGUCUCACGAGUCAUUAGCAGGUUUAGUAUAGUCUAGCAUAUCGGUACGGAGACGUCUGCACUUAUCUUCGAAAGGCUGCCGAACCCUUAGGAAAACUUCACAUUCUUGUAUUCUUGUCGUGCGAAUAUGUUGGUUCUGGAAACUAAACUUCUGUUAUUUUAUUCUCUCACAGAUGGUGAGAACACGUGCUACCGGAUCGGGCGGACGGCCACCAGUACCACUAGUUAGUGCUACGAGAGGCUGAGGCUGCGGUCAAGGCUGAGGUGCAGCUCAUACUGCAGCUAGAGUAGCACAUGCAGACCCACUUGUUGCUCCGGCUCAGGAGCAGGUUCCAGAUGUGGUUGAGCCGGUGGGACUAGCUCAGGCACCAGCUGUGCCUAUUAUGAUUCCAGACCUUUAGGAGGCUUUGGCCUAGAUAUUGACUUUUUGCACUAGCCUUGCCCAGACGGUUUUAGUUCCGGCUGCAGCAGCCACUUCUCAGGCUAGGGGAGGUACUCAGACUCUCGCCGCCCCUACUCUAGAGCAGGUGAUGCAGGGACUUCAGUGGGUAUUACCAGCCCUACCAGUUAUAGUUGCUAAGGCUCAGGUGGGUCCCAUUAUUAGUGAUGAGGAGCAGAAAAGACUAGAGAGGUUUGGUAGGCUCCAGCCUCCAUCAUUCAGUGGGGCUGAGUCAGAGGAUGCUCAAGACUUCUUGGAUAGGUGCCAGCGGAUUCUUCACACGGAGAUAUUCUAGAGACUAGUGGGGUCUUAUUUACUACUUUUUAGCUGACUGUGGCAGCUUUCAGAUGGUGGGAGACCUAUGAGAGGAGCAGGCCAGUCGGUGCAGCACCACUUUCAUGGCAUGAGUUCUCCGUUCUUUUCUUGGAGAAGUUUGUUCCACCGAACCGUAGAGAGGAGUUGCGUAGGUAGUUUGAGCAGCUACGCAAGAAGGGCAUGUCUAUGAACCAGUACGAGAUGAGAUUUUUUGAGUUGACUCGUCACGCAGUUUGGUUGGUUCCCACUGAGAGGGAGAGGAUUAGGAGGUUCAUAUAUGGCCUCAGCUAUUAAUUGCGUUUUGUUAUGACUUGGUAGAAUGAAUCAGGUGCUAGGUUCUACGAGGUGGUUGAUAUUGCUCAGCAGCUAGAGUUGGUCCGUAGGCAGGAUCAUGAGGAGAGGGAGGCCAAGAGGCCUCGUGGGUUGGUUGGUUUCAGCGGUGCUUCUUCUGGGGGUCAGUCCCACCACAACAAAGGUUGUCCUUAUAGGCCUGCUCAGACGGCUCGUCCAGCUCAUCGUGGUGCAUCAGUUAGCCACGGUUCUUACAAUUCUCAUUCGGGUCAGUCAUCAUUCAGUGCAUUACCAGUGUAGAGUUCUCACCAUGCCUCGUCUACUCAGGUUUCUACAGGCAGUUCCUCGGAUUAUCAGGAGAGGCAGCUCUGUCAGAAGAGGGGUUGUUUCGGGUGCAGGGACUUGAGUUAUCUAAAGAAGAAUUACCCUAGAUUGUUGAGUGGGGUUCCACAUAAGAGUUCUCGGCUGAUGAUACCAGCACCAGCAGUUACACCACCCGCUCAGCCAGCUCGGGGUGGGGCCCAAGCAGCUAGAGGUCUCCUUAGAGGAGGAGGCCGAUCAGGUGGUGGUCAGGCUCGAUUCUAUGCUAUUCCUGCCAAGCCAAAGACCGUUGCUUCAGAUGCAGUGAUCACAAGUAUUGUUUCAGUAUGCCACAGGGAUGCUUCCACAUUAUUUGACCCUGGUUCUACUUAUUCCUAUGCAUCAUCCAAUUUUACACAUUAUUUGGAUAUGCCCCGUGAGUCCUUAGUUUCACAUGUUCAUGUAUCUACGCCGGUGGGUGAUGGUAUUGUGGACCAUGUGUAUCGAUCGUGUGUGGGGACUAUUGGGGGAUUGGAUACUAGAUUUGAUCUCUUAUUGCUUAGUAUGGUCGAUUUCGAUGUUAUUUUGGGUAUGGAUUGGUUGUCUCCAUAUCAUACUAUUUUGAAUUGUCAUGCUAAGACCAUGACGUUGGUGGUGUCGGGGUUGCCAAGGAUCGAGUUGAGAGGUUCUCUAGAUUAUGUUCCCAGCAGGGUGAUUUUAUAUUCGAAGGCCCAACGGAUAGUUGGGAAGAGGUGUAUGUCAUAUUUGGCCUUUUUGAGGGAUGUUAGUGAUGAUACUCCUUGUAUACGGUCAAAACCGGGUUCGCCUCUUGUGUGACUAAUCGAGACUGAAAUAUGGUAGGUUAAAGUUCGACCUCGAAUUAUAUCGAACUGAGGUGCGAAGUUAUAUCGUUAAGCUCGAGACCAUGUCAUCGAACAAAAUCGAGAUCAGACGAGAUCGAGGGAAAUUUGCAGAGCCGACUAACAGAAGGACAAAAUAUCAGCGAUCGGUUAUAGAUCACGGUGUAAAUCUCGGCACGUAUAAGGAUAGGUUGAUUGAUCAGCAAAUCAUGAGAUUGUAUACCUUGUAUAAAAUAGAAUCAAGAGUAGGACUCCCUUACUAUAUAAAAGGGGUCUGAUCAUUUGUAAUAGAGAAUACAUUACGCAACAUAAAGCUAUAUACUGUCAUUGUCUAGUUGUUAUCAUCUUGUUAUUCUGUUCAUACAUCAGUGGAGACAUCUCUUGGUUCAAGGGUGAUCGAACUUGAGGGCCAAGGCUGUUCGAUAUGGUAAAAAGGUUUGCGUAAGGUUAUUCAAUUUGUGUGGUUUGCAUUUAUUACUUUAUCGUCAAUUUCAAUUCUAAUUUGUUUCCUUAAUUUGUAUCAAGUUAUAUCACGUAUCCUUAAAACCGAGUAUAAAUUCAAUUGUUAUCUGAUUUUUAGGGUAAACAGUUUGGCGCCCACCGUGGGACUAAGUAUAAUAGUGAUUACCCGGUACAAAGUUUCAUAACACACACUAUUUUACACUUGUUCUUUGGAGUAUAUUUGAUUCCAGGAUCAAAAUGUCUAACUCUCAGUCAGCACCCCUACACGUGGACAAUGAUAUCGGUCACCAUGAUGAAAAUGAUAACAUAACAUCAGGGAAUGACGUACCUCCAGUUGGCCUCGGCGGAGUUGCGGCUGUAGAUCCAAUCAACGUCAGCUCGCAUGUAGCCAUCAAUGCAAAUUUGGCAGUCAAUCCCGAGAGCAACAUCCGUAGAUACGUUCGGUCAGCCGCUCGAAGCACACAUGGCGGCGAAGAUGGCGGGAUAAGCCUACGGGUGAUCUUUAAAAUGUUGCAGGCUCAACAAGUAGCGAUAUCCCAGCUCCAAAACCAGAAUCACCCAUAGAGCAGGAUCGAGCCCGAGCCGUCCCAGGAAGUUGUCCACAGGGUCGAAUUGGUUUCAAGGAAUCUAACGAGAAAGAAUCAGGGGCCGAUCGUACAAUCAUGAAGAUGCUUGAAGAACUGACAAAAUGAGUUGAGUCGGGGGAAAAGAAGAUCGAGGCAAACAACAAGAAUGUGGAAACUUACAACUCCAGGGUCGAUCAAAUCCCGGGGGAACCACCAAUAUUGAAGGGUCUAGAUUCCAAAAUGUUUGUGCAAAAACCCUUCUCCCCGAGCGUGGCUCCCAAACCGAUUCCCAAGAAGUUCUGCAUGCCCGAGAUUCCUAAAUACAAUGGAACGACUGACCCAAACGAGCAUGACACCUCUUACACAUAUGCUAUCAAAGAGAAUGAUCUAGAGGAUGACGAGAUCGAAUCUGUCUUUCUAAAGAUAUUUGGGGAAACCCUGUCAAAGGGAGCUAUGAUAUGGUACCACAAUUUACCACCUAACUCUAUUGAUUCAUUUGCUAUGCUUGCAGAUUCUUUUGUAAAGACAUACGCUAGGACUAUUAAGGUCGAAACUAGGAAGUCGGACCUUUUCAAGGUAAGGCAGAAGAACAACGAAAUGCUCAGAGAAUUUGUGUCUCGAUUCUAGAUAGAACGAAUGGAUCUGCCACCGGUCACCGAUGAUUAGGCUAUUCAAGCUUUCACCUAAUGACUCAAUGUUCAAAGUUCAGUGGCUUCGCAGUAGUUGAAGUAGAAUUUGAUAGGCUACCCGACUGUUACUUGAGCCGAUGUGCACAAUCGGUAUCAAUCAAAGAUUAGGGUUGAAGAUGACUAGCUUGGGGCUCCUUCCAGGUCCGUUUAUCCUAUCAGGCCCGUUGAUAGAAUCAAGAGGGACAUUGACCGAGAAUCGGGGUUGAAUAGGGAUCGGUACCGGCCAUAUAAUAGAGAUCGUUGGAGCAGCAGAUUUGGGUGAAAUCCUGUACGAAAUGAAAGGGGGAGUGAUUGAGGCUAGAGAUCUCAAGGGCUUAUGAGUAAAAACGGCUUCGACAGGCCUAUCAGACCUAAAGAGGCACCACGAUUAUCAGAAUAUAACGUUAAUAUUGACACAGCUGCCAUCGUAUCGGCAAUUAGACGAAUCAAAGAUACCAAAUGGCCUCGACCUUUACAAACUGAUCCAGCCCAGAAAAAUCCCAACCAAAUGUGCAAAUAUCAUGAUACCCAUGGCCACAGAACGGAAGAUCAUCGACAUUUGAGAGAAGAAGUAGCCAGGUUAUUCAACGACGGGAAUCUUCGGGAGUUUAUGAGUGAUCGAGCCAAGAAUCAUUUCAAAAAUAGGGAUUCCAAUAAACAAAACGAGCAAGAAAAACCUCAACACAUCAUUCGUAUGAUUAUCGGAGUGGUCGAUGUUCCCCAAGGUCUGAUGUUAAAACGCACCAAGGUGUCAAUCACGAUGGAGAAACGAACUCUGGACUAUAUACCAGAAGGAACCUUAUCUUUCAACGACGAGGAUGCAGAAGGAAUCAUACAGCCCCAUAAUGAUGCACUGUUAAUAUCUUUACUAAUGAAUAAAACUCAAGUUAAACGUGUAUUAAUUGAUCCAAGUAGUUCGGCCAACAUCAUUCGAUCAAAGGUCGUAGAACAACUCGGCCUAUAGGACAAAAUUGUGCCCGCAGCUCGAGUGCUAAACGGAUUCAACCUGGCUUGUGAAACUACUAAGGGGGAAAUAACAUUACCAGUGAAUGAACCCGGGACCAUCCAGGAGAAAAAGUUUUGUGUGAUCAAAGGGGACAUGAGAUAUAACGCCCUGUUCGGGAGACCGUCUACCCACAACAUGAGGGUUGUGCCCUCGACCCUUCACUAGGUGCUAAAAUUCCCAAUACAAGAAGGGAUUAAAACAAUCUACGGGGAGCAGCCCACCGCGAAGGAAAUCUUUGCCGUCGAUGAAGUGAUUCCAAUAUCGACACUCUCAUUAACAAAGGAGUCAGAUUAGAAAGCAAAAUAGGAAGCCGAAUAGCAAUCAUAGACGCAGGCCUCGACCCAACUAGAUAAGCAGGGGACUGACGAAGACGAUGAUUAUGGGGUUCCUCGAUCCUUCAUAGUCCCCGAUGAUUCCGACGCUACCAAAUCAACGGUCAAAGAGCUGGAGCAGGUCAUACUGAUCGAACAUCUGCCUGAUCGAAAGGUUUACCUGGGCAUGGGGUUAACUCCCGAGCUCAGGAAAAAACUCAUUCAAUUUCUUAUAGCUAACAUGGAUUGUUUUGAUUGGUCCUAUCUCGACAUAACAGGAAUCCCACCAAAGAUCACCACUCAUAAACUGAGCUUGGACCCGAAAUUCUGUCUGGUGAAGCAGAAAAGGAGACCCCAGUCCGAGAUCAAGCAUGCCUUCAUCAAAGACGAGGUAACUAAGCUCCUUAAAAUAGGGUCCAUCCGAGAAGUCAAAUACCCCGAAUGGCUAGAAAACGUAGUAGUAGUCCCUAAGAAAGGGAACAAACUAAGAAUUUGUGGAUUACAAAGAUUUAAAUAAGGCAUGACCCAAGGACUCUUUUCCUUUGCCUAACAUCGAUCGCAUGAUCGAUGCCACGGCCGGCCAUGAGAUCCUCAGUUUUCUCGAUGCCUAUUUCGGGUACAACAAAAUACAAAUGAACCCGGAUGAUCAGGAAAAAACCUCUUUCAUCACUAAGUAUGGCACAUACUGCUAUACCGUAAUGCCAUUUGGAUUAAAAAAUGUUGGUGCCACUUACCAACGCCAAGUAAACUAGAUGUUCAAAGAACAAAUAGGUAAAUCUAUGAAAGUUUGCAUUGAUGACAUGUUAGUUAAGUCCCUACAAGCAGAAGACCAUUUGAAGCAUUUGCAGGAAACCUUCAGUAUAUUCAGGAAGUACAACAUGAAAUUGAAUCCAAAAGAAUGCGCGUUCAGAGUCGGGUCAGGUAAAUUUCUCGGAUUCAUGGUAUCCAACCGAGGAAUCGAGAUCAACCCCGAUAAGAUCAAAGAUAUUGAGGAUAUCAUGGUAGUGGACAACGUGAAGGCCGUACAGAGGCUAACCGGGCGCAUAGCCGCCCUGGGUCGAUUCAUCUCGAGGUCCUCCGAUAAGAUUCAUCAAUUUUUCUCAUUACUGAAGAAGAAAAAUAACUUCACAUGGACUUCGGAAUGCCAACGGGCCCUGGAAGAAUUUAAAUGAUACUUGUCGAGCCCUUCACUGCUUCACACACUGAGGGCAGAUGAACAACUGUACUUAUAUUUGGCAGUAUCAGAAAUAGCGGUAAGUGGAGUCCUAGUUAGGGAAGAACAAGGUACACAAUUUCCAAAUCAAUAAUGUUAGCCGGACCUUGGGUGAGGCCAAAACAAGAUACCCCCACCUAGAAAAAUUGGCGCUCGAUUUGUUAAGCGCCUCUAGGAAAUUGAAAUCGUACUUUCAAUGCCACCCUAUAUGUGUUGUGACAACGAUUGGCCAAAUGGGCCAUGGAAAUAAGCGGGUACGAUAUCGAAUAUCUACUUCGAAUAACCAUUAAGUCUCAAAUCUUGGCAGAUUUUGAAGCCGACUUCAUGCCGGCCCUAAUACCCGAGGUCGAAAGAGAGUUGUUGGUAAACUCAGGAAUGUCCACGGGAAUCUGGACCCUCUUUACGGUCGGUGCAUAGAACACAAAGGGGUCCGGACUUGGCAUAGUACUGAAGCUACCCACGGGCAACGUGGCUAGACAAUCCAUUAGAACUGUGAAGUUGACUAACAACGAGGCCGAAUAUGAGGACAUGAUUGCAGGUGUUGAUCUAGCCAAAAGCUUGGGGUGGAGAUGAUAGAAGCUAAGUGUGACUCCCUCCUUGUGGUGAAUCAGGUUAACGGAAUAUUUGAAGUCAGAGAAGAACGAAUACAAAGGUACAUAGAUAAGAUACAAGUAACAUUACAUCAGUUUAAAGAAUGGACUUUGCAGCAUGUGCCUCGAGAUCAAAAUAGCGAGGCUGAUGCCCUCACAAACUUAGGGUCAUCGGUCUAGGACGACGAGCUCAACUCAGGGGCCGUUGUGCAACUCACGAGGUCAGUAGUCGAAGAAGGGCAUGCCAAGAUAAAUUCCACAAGCUUAACCUGGGAUUGGAGGAAUAAAUAUGUAGAAUAUUUGAAGACCAGGAAACUCCCCUCAGAUCCAAACGAAUCAAGGGCCCUCCGCACAAAUGCAUCCUGAUUCACCUUGUUCGAACACGGAACCUUGUUCAGAAGAAUGUUCGAUGUCCCACUAGCAAUAUGUAUGGGACCGGGAGACACCGAGUAUGUUUUGAGGGAAGUUCAUUAGGGCACUUACGGAAAUCAUUCAGGCGCCAAAUCAUUGGUUCAAAAGGUAAUCAGAGCCGGCUAUUACUGGAUCGACAUGGAAAAAGAUGCAAAGGAGUUUGUUCAAAACUAUGACAAAUGCCAAAGAUAUACUCCAAUGAUUCACCAACUUGGGGAACUGCUGCAUUCAGUCUUGUCACCAUAGCCAUUCAUGAAGUGGGGAAUGGACAUCAUUGGCCCUCUUCCAUGGGCACCAUGUAAGGCUCAAUUUAUCUUAUGUAUGGCUGACUAUUUUCUAAGUGGGUUGAAGCACAGGCAUACGAGAAGGUUAGGGAGAAGGAAGCCAUCGACUUCAUUUGGGACCACUUUAUAUGUCGAUUCGGGAUGCCAUCCGAAAUUGUGUGUGACAAUGGGAAACAGUUUAUCUACAGGAAAGUGACCAAGUUUCUUGAAGAUCAUAAGAUCAAAAAAAUCUUAUCGAUACCUUAUCACCCUAGCAGUAGCAAGCAAGCCGAAUCGACCAACAAAACCAUAAUCCAAAACCUUAAGAAAAGGUUAACCGACGCCAAAGGGAAAUGGAAGGAGAUCCUACCCGAAGUCCUUUGGGCAUAUCGAAUGACUGCGAAAUCCAGUACCGGGGCUACUCCGUUUUCAUUGGUUUAUGGAGUCGAAGCCUUAAUACCAUUCGAAGUCGGGGAACCAAUUAUUAGAUACUGAUAUGCAACAAAAGAGUUAAAUGAUGAGGCCAUGAAUAUAAGCUUGGAACUAUUGGAUGAAAGGUGUGAGGCCACCCUUGUUCGAUUGGCUGCCCAAAACUGGAACGCAUGUAAAUCUUCAAUGCCAGCUCCUGCCAUACACAUCAGCAUCACACCAAGAACUGCACGCAAGGUGCAAAAGUGUAGUAUUAGUACAACCGACCUCAUGUACUCAAUAAGUAUACUAACUAAUCUCGGCGGGGUAAAAGAAGCAAGAACUAUAGAUGAUACUCACUAACACAUGUGCAGUUCAUAAUUUCAACAAGUAUAGAACAUAUACAUGAUCAAAAUAGGAAAUCUCAGGAAAAACCACUUUGAUGCUCACAAUUCUUUGUUUUAAAGUGUUCUGCUCAAACAACAAUCCAGCAUAUAAGGAAUAUAUGCAAGUAAAUCAGGUAAUCAGUCAAGGGAUUUGCAAGAAAAGAUGAAAUGCAAUAACCAAAUAUCAGCCUGUUGCGAGCAAUCCGAUCCAAUAACGGUAACCAGCUCUCCUAGAGCUCGUAUAAAUAUCAGCUACAAGGUCAACUCACGUGCUGCACGGUCAACACACGUGCUAUAGUAUCAAUAUAUGGAUCCGCACGAACAACUCACAUGCUAUAAUAUCAAUAUCUGGAUUCACACGGACAACUCACGUGCUGCACAGACAACUCACGUGCUUUAAUAUCAAUAUCUGAAUCUGUAUGGCUAACUCACGUGUUGCACGUAUAACUCACGUGCUGCACGGAUAACUCAUGUGCUGCACGGACAACUCACGUGCUAUAGUAUCAAUAUCUAGAUCCGCACGGACAACUCACGUGCUGCACAGACAACUCACAUAAUAUAGUCUCAAUAUCUGGAUCCGCACGGACAACUCACGUGUUAAUAUCACAAUCCGCUCGGCGUGGUCACAUACAUCCAGUCCAAAUCAUAUCUCAUAGAAGCAAGUCUACAAGAACAUAUGUACAUGACAGAUAAAUAUCAGAUUUCAUGCUCCUGGACUGGUAUAAUUACAUGCUAAAGUGUAGGCAUGUGCAAUGUGUGCUAUCACAGCUCAAAUCAGAAUUUUUAUCACAGAAAUAACAAUUACCAAAUUUUAUUCAGAUAUUUAGCCUCUUUGUAACCUCAAACAUGGCUCAAAUAGUUCACAACAAUGAUACAAAUAUGAGAAAUAUUGUAGCUUAAAGCUUCACAGUCAACUCUAGGCAUAUCAUAGCCUAAGCACUACCCCGAGCAUGGAUAAAUACCCCGGUGCUGGCACAUGGGUUCAAACCCUGCACAUAUUGGUACCCAUAACACGUAGCUAUCAAAGAUAAUUCUGGCAACUAGCGCCUCAACCAAGUUUAGAUAGGAUUCUUACCUCAAACAAGCCAAGACAAAGACCGAGCAAGCCAAACGACACUCUAGAAAUGCCAUACUGCGCGUAUCCACCUCCAAACAACUCGAAACUAGCCAAAAGCAACUCAAACACAUCAAAUAAUACCUAAGUAAACAAUCCCAAAUGAUAAAGGUCGAAUCUUUACACACUACUCAAAUUUAACCAAAAAUUCAAACUCGGGCCCGCUCCUCGAAACCCGACAAAACACACAAAAUCCGACAACCCAUUCAAUUACGAGUUCAACCAUACUAGUUUCACUCAAAUCCGACUCCGAAUCGAUGAUCAAAACUCAAAAAUUCACUUUAUAAAAUAUUAGACAACCCCCCCCCCCCCCAAAUUUCUCUUUUGAAAUCAUCAACUAAAUGCCAAAAACGAGGAUAGAUUCCUGAUGUAUAUUCGAAAUCGAGUAAAGAACACUUACCCCAAUCCAUGUGGUGAAAAUCGCUUCAAAAAUUGCCCAAAUCCGAGUUCUAUAGCUUAAUAUAUGAUAAAAUGGACAACCCUCGAUUUUAUAGCUUCUGCCCCACAAUUUUCGCAUUUGCGAACAAAUUCCCGCUUCUGCGUACUCGCAUGUGCGACCCAGCCUUCGCUUCUGCGAACAGGCCCAAACUCAGCAGCCACCGCUUCUGCGGUCAUUUCUCCAUUUCUAGGGUCGCGCUUCUACACUAAAUUCACUGCAUUUGUGACCCUCUCGCCCACAGUCCAUAUCCGAUCUUGCGAUCAAAAUGUUCGCAUCUAUGGACCUGCUUCAGCGCCCAACUUCCGCACCUGCGGACUCUGCUCCUAGGACAAGGCUUUUGCUCCUGUGCCAAUGAUCUCGCUUCUUUGCGCAUGCAGGUGCGCUUCCUACUCCGCAUCUGCGAUGGUUCCCCAUCCUAUCCUUCUUCGUAGGUGCGCUAAUUCCCUCGCUUCUGAGACCGCCGCACCUGCACAAAACUAAUCGCAGGUGCGCAACACCAGAACCACCUCUUCUCAGCAAUGCACCAUGAGACAAAAAUGAUCUGAACCUCGUCCGAAAAUCACCCGAGCCCCUCGGGACCCCAUACAAAUAUUUCAACAAGUCUCAUAACAUAACACAGACCUACUCGAGGCCUCAAAUAACGCAUAACAAUAUCGAAACGACGAAUCGCACCUCAAAUCAAACAUAAUGAACUUUGAAUCUUUCAACUUUCAAAAUUCAUGCUGAACCUUAUCAAAUCAACUUGGAAUGAACUCAAAUUUUGCACAAAAGUCCCAAAUGACAUAGCAAAGCUAUUUCAAUUCCCGGAACCACAACCCGAUCCCGAUUUCAUCAAAGUGAACUCUCGGUCAAACUUAUAAACAUUCCAAACCUUCAAAUUUCUAAAUUUUGCCAAUUAGUGCCGAAACCUUCUAGAAAUAUCCAAAUGCAAAUUCAAGCAUACGCCCGAGUGAAAGAUCACCACCCAGACCUAACAGAACCAUAAAAACUCCGAUCUGGGGUCAAAUACUCAAAAGUCAAACUUGAUCAACUCUUCCAACUUAAAGCUUCUUAGUUGAGAAUCAUUCUUCCAAAUCAAAUUCCGAAUAACCUGAAAACCCAAAAACGAUGAUUCACACAAGUCAUAAUACAUCAUACGAUGCUGCUCAAGACUUCAAAUAGCUGAACGAAAUGAAAAUUCUCAAAACGACCGGCCAGAUCGUUACAUUCUCCCCCACUUAAACAUAUGUUCGUCCUCGAACGUGCCCAGAGUCAUUCCAAAGCCAUCAAAUCAACGUGUAACAUUAGCACGCACAUACCCGGCUGUGAUCCCAGAGUUUCAUGACCCAAUAUCCAACUAGUCAUGAUGACACCUAACCCAACCCACUAGGUAAGCCAAUUAGCAACAAUCCAAUUCAAAUGAGAAUUACUGAGAAAAAUAAUGAUAAUAUAACUGAAAUUUUAUACAAAACAUUCCCAAGGACUGGUAGUACAAGUCAUAAGCUACUAAGACUUAGAUUUUUAUAAAACUGAAUUGAAAUAAUUACAACAUUUGUUUGAAAUAUAAAUGAACAGAAUCUGAAUCUAAAUCUACCAAGGACAAGUGAUAGCCAAAACUGGAACGCAAGUACAUCUUCAAUGCCAGCUCCCGCCAUACACAACAACAUCACACCAAGAACUAUACGCAAGGUGCAGAAGUGUAGUAUAAAUACAACCGACCCCAUGUACUCAAUAAGUGUCCUAACUAACCUCAGCGGGGUAAAGGAAGCAAGAACUAUAGAUGAUACUCAAUAACACAUGUGCAGUUCAUAAUUUCAACAAGUAUAGAACAAAUAUAUGAUCAAAAUAGGAAAUCUCAAGUAAAACCACUUUGAUGCUCAUAAUUCGUUGUUUUAUAGUGUUCUGCUCAGACAACAAUCUAGCAUAUAAGGAAGAUAUGCAAGUAAAUCAGGUAAUUAAUCAAGGGAUUUGCAAGUAAAGAUGAAAUGCAAUAACCAAAUAUCAUCCCAUUGUGGCGCGCAACCCGAUCCAAUAAAGCUCUCCCAGAGCUCACAUUAAUAUCAACUGCACAGAUAACUCAUGUGUUGCACGGACAAUUCACGUGCUAUAGUAUCAAUAUCUAGCCCAGCACGGAUAACUCAUGUGUUGCACGGAUAACUCAUGUGCUAUAGUAUUAAUAUUUGGGUCUGCACGGACAACUCACGUGAUGCACGGAUAACUAACGUGCUAUAGUAUCAAUAUCUGGAUCUGCACGGACAACUCACGUGCUAUAGUAUCAAUAUCUGGAUCCGCACGGAUAACUCACGUGUUUCACGGACAACUCACGUGCUAUAGUAUCAAUAUCUAGGUCUGCACGGACAACUCACAUUCUACACGAAAAGCUCACGUGCUAUAGUAUCAAUAUAUGGAUCCGCAUGGACAAAUCACGUGCUAAUAUCACAAUUCGCCCGGUGUGGUCAUAUGCAUCUAGUUCAAAUCAUAUCACAAAGAAUCAAGUUUACAAGAACACAUGUAUAUCAUGGAUAAAUAUCAGAUUUCAUGCUCCCGGACUGGUAUAAUUACAUGCUAAAGUGUAGGCAUGCGCAAUGUGUGCUAUCACAUAAAUAACAAUUACCAAGUUUUAUUCAAAUAUCCAGCGUCUUUGUAACCUCAAACAUGGUUCAAAUAGUUCACAACAAUGAUACAAAUAUGAGAAAUAUUGUAGCUUAAAGCUUCACAGUCAAUUCUAGGCAUAUCAUAGCCUAAGCACUACCCCGAGCAUGGAUAAAUACCCCGGUGCUCGCACAUGGGUUCAAACCCUGCACAUAUUGGUACCCAUAACACGUAGCUAUCAAAGAUAAUUCUGGCAACUAGUGCCUCAACCAAGUUUAGAUAGGAUUCUUACCUCAAACAAGCCAAGACAAAUACCGAGCAAGCCAAAUGACACUCUAGAAAUGUCAUACUGCACGUGUCCACCUCCGAACAGCUCGAAACUUGCAAAAAGCAACUCAAAAACAUCAAAUAAUGCCUAAGGAAACAAUCCCAAAUGAUAAAGGUCGAAUCUUUACACUUUUACUCAAAGUCAACCAAAACGUCAAACCCGGGGCCGCACCUCAAAACCUGACAAAAUUCACAAAAUCCGACAAAACAUUCAAUUACGAGUCCAACCAUACUAGUUUCACUCAAAUCCAACUCUGAAUCGAUGCUCAAAACUCAAAAAAUUCACUUAUAAAAUUUUAGAAUAAAACCCCCUAAUUUAUCUUUUGAAAUCAUCAACCAAAUGCAAAAAACAAGGAUAGAUUCAUGAAGUAUAUUCAAAUCCGAGUAGAGAACACUUACCCCAAUCCAUGUAGUGAAAAUCGCUUCAAAUAUCGCCCAAAUUCGAGGCCUAUAACUCAAUAUAUAAUAAAAUUGGCCAACCCUCAAUUUUAUAGCUUCUACCCAGCAAUUUUCGCAUUUGCAAACAAAUUCCUGCUUCUACGGACUCGCAUGUGCGACCCAGCCUUCGCUUUUGCGAACAUGCCCAAACUCAGCAGCCACCGCUUCUGUAGUCAUUUCUUUGCUUUUGGAGUUUCGCUUCUACGCUAAAUUCACCGCAUUUUUGACCCUCUCGCCCAUAAUCCAUAUCCGCUCCUGUGAUCAAAAUGUCUGCAUCUGCGGACCCGCUUCAGUGCCAAACUUCCGCAUUUGCGGACUCAACUCCCAGGCCAAGACUUUCGCUCACGCGCCAAUUAUCUUGCUUUUGCGCGCACGUAGGUGCGCUUCCUACUCCGCAUCUGCGAUGAUUCCCCAGCCUAGCCUUCUUCACAGGUGCACCAAUUCCCUCGCUUCUGCGACCACCGCACCUGUGCAAAACCAAUUGCAGUUGCGCAACACCAGAACCAACUCCUCUUCAGCAAUGCAACAUGAGAUAAAAUUUAUCCGAACCUCAUCCGAAACUUAUCCGAGCCCCUCGGGACCCCGUCCAAAUAUACCAACAAGUCUCAUAACAUAACACGGACCUGCUCGAGAUCUCAAAUCAUGCAUAACAACAUCGAAACAACGAAUAGCACCUCAAAUCUAACGUAAUGAACUUUGAAUCUUUCAACUUCCAAAACUCGUGCCGAACCUUAUAAAAUCAACUCAGAAUGAACUCAAAUUUUGCACACAAGUCCCAAAUGACAUAACAAAGCUAUUUUAAUUCCCGAAACCACAAUCCGUACCCGAUUUCAUCAAAGUCAACUCUCGGUCAAACUUAUGAACAUUCCAAACCUUCAAAUUUUCAACUUUCGCCAAUUAGUGCCGAAACCUUCUAGAAAUAUCCAAAUACAAAUUCGGGCAUACACCCGAGUCCAAAAUCACCAUUCGAACCUAACAAAACCAUCAAAGCUCUGAUCUGGGGUCAAAUACUCAAAAGUCAAACUUGGUCAACUCUUCUAACUUAAAGCUUCUUAGUUGAGAAUCAUUCUUCCAAAUCAGAUUCCGAAUAACCUGAAACCCAAAACUGACGAUUCACACAAGUCAUAGUACACCAUAAUAUACUGUUGAAGACUUCAAAUAGGUGAACGAAAUGCAAAUGCUCGAAACGACCGAUCGGGUCAUUACAAUUGGGAUUUCUUCUUAUAGCAUUGGUUGAUUUACUUGGAUAAUGUUUGGCUUGGAUUUACAUAAUUGGAGAGCUAGAGUGAGGUUUUGAUACGAUUUAAAGUUGAAAACUAGCCGGAUAAGAUAAGUUUAUUGCCUAGUUUUGGUUUGAGAGAAUUUUUCCCAAUAAAUAAUACUGUUUGCUACAUGCGAGGGUGAUUUAUAUGUGAGGUGACGAGUGUAUAUGCAUGUGCCAUGAGUAUUCAUGCUUGGGGUAGAUUCUAGGUUACUUGAUGUCUUGUUGAAUUGUGUGUUCUUCUUGAUUUAUGCUUCAGAUGAUUCAUAUGAUAACAUGAGCACAAAUAUCCAUUCUAGAGAUCAUAUCUUAGUUUAUGAUACCCUAAUUAAAGGUGAAAGAAUAUUCUUAAGAUUGUUAACUUACUCGAUUUAAUUGAGGUCAUACUUUAUAUCAUGAACACAUAUCUAUAUUUGUUAUUCUUGUGAUACUUUAGUUUCCAUAUUCAUGCUAAAGAUCAUGCUUAAGUUUUGUUCAAAAUAGUGGAACGUUAUGGUUCUUGAAAUAUUAGCUUACCUAUUGGUGCAGAUUAUCUCUCACGUGGAUUAUUAUGCUUAAUCACUCUUCUUAAUGUUAUCUAUGAUUCUCACUUUUCUUGGUACUAUUUUCUAUAUACUUGGUGAGAAAGAGUGUAUUGCACGAAGAAUAUUUCCGUGCUUGUGAGGGAGAGUGAUUUAUGCAUGAAGGGUGUUUUCCUGCUUCUUGACAUUAUUAUUAUGCACGAAGGGUAUUUCCGUGCUUCUUGAUAUUUUUAUUAUUACACGAAGGGUAUUUCUGUGCAUGGUGAGUAAGAGUGAUAUGAUAUUGGCAUGAAAGGUGUUUCCAUGCAAGUGAGGAUGAGAGUUCAUGGCACGAAGGAUGUUUCCGUGCAGGCGAGGAUGAGAGACACACAUUAUAUUGUGUUAUCCUUUCCAACACAUAUAUAUUUAUGUUUUUUUACCGGGGUUGUUAUUGUUGCACCUAUGCUUUCUAUCUUGUUUGUUGUUGUUAUAUCUAUGCCUUCCGUCUUGCUUGUUAUUGUUAUAUGUACACCUUCUAUCAUGUUUGUUACUGUUAUUCACGCGCGCUCUACCUUAUUUAUUAUUAUCAUCUACAUGCAUCUACCUUGUUUGUUACUAUCAUUUACAUGCCUUCUAUUGUUUGUUGUUAUUGUUGUUGUUGUUGUUGUUGUUGUUGUUGUUGUUGUUGUUGUUGUUGUUGUUGUUGUUGUUGUUGUUGUUGUUGUUGUUGUUGUUGUUAUUGUUGUUAUUACAUCUACAUCUUCUACCUUGGUUGUUGUUCUUACAUCUAUGCCUUUUACCUUAUUAUCUAUGUUAGCUAUAUGUCUUUUACAUGGUUUGGUACUGUUAUACAUAUGUUUGGUGAGGAUGAGAUAAAUGGUUAAAUUAUGUUUCCGUGCCAUUUGAUUUAACAUGCAUACAUAUGCUUGGUGAGAAUGAGAGAAAUGCACGAAAAGUGUUGUCGUGCCAGUUCAUUUGAUAUCUUGUACAUAUUUCUUUUAUUAUACCAAAUUUAUUGAUAUGGAUUAUGUUUCUUUAUAGAUAUCAUUUCGUCCUCACCGACUUGAUUUGUUGAGAAAGGUUAGGUUGUUAUAUUUUUGAAACAAGCUCGUUAUUUCUCUUAUUUGAUCCUUCCACAAUUACUUCUCGUUUCCCUUGUUAUAUCUCUUGCUUAUGAAUUGUACAUGCUAUAUUAGUGUGUAUAUUUUGAGUUAAAAAUAUCGCCACUACUUUACCGAGGUUAGUCAAUAAGUGUUGCGUGCAGAUUUUGGAGCUAUGCAGUUGUGGAGUCCAAGGAUGAGCAUUGAAGGCUUUAGCUUUUUAGCUAUUAGCUACCAUCUUGUUCAUGACAACUUAGAAUUGUAAUUUUGUUCAUGUAUUUUCAAGAAUAUGAUGUAUUUAUUCUUGUCAACAUUGUAAAAUUUUAAAUCUUAGCUGCUCAUGACUUGUGCUAUCGGAUCUUGGGGUAGAUGCACUUAUACUUGUACUCUUACUUAUGUAUCUAUUGAUGAUCUUUGAUAUGGAAUAUACUUUAUGUUAGUUAGCUAACCUAGCGGGUUUGGAUUAGGUGUCAUUAUGACUUGGUAAAAUUUUUUGGGUUGUAACAAUUUCGUACAAACACUAGACCUAUUAAAGACAAAUAGCAAUUCAUAGCAAGAGGUGCUUUCAAGGAUUCAGGUUACUCAACUAAAGAACAUAUUCUUGAAGACGAAGUUGCUAAAGCUCUUUAGUUGGUUAUGUUGAGUUAACAGAUUUCCCUUGUAACCUAUUCUACUUAUUAAGAAGUGCAAUAGUAUGUGAAUAAUUCUUGAGAGUUUUUAUUUUGCUUUUUAAGCUAGAGUUAGUUCAAAAAGAGGUAGUUUAUUGAGUUGGUUAUUGGGUAAGAUACUAGAGUUAGUCCUAUUGUGUUAUAGAGUUGUAACCUAAAAUCACUCUUUGAAGUUAGUAAUGUUUUAAGGUAAAUCCUACUGGGGUCGGUCGUAAUUUUACUCCAUCGAGUAAGGAGAUUUUUCAUGCAAAAUUAUUGUGUUGUUUAAUUUUUGAACUAUACUUUCUGUUUAUGUCUGAAUUACUUAGGUUAAAGAACCAAAAUCUUUAACAAGCCAAAUAUUUGGUAAGACACAAUUUAUUCCCCCCAUUAGUGUCUAGGUGCCUCAUAAAACAACAAUUGUUAUCAUAGUAAGUCCUUUCAAAAGCAAGGCUAACACCUGAAAGGAUCCAAGAUGGUUGCACCUCCGGAUGCUCAAAACGGAAAAUCAACAACAAGACCACCUUUAUCCAACUGAAAAAUCUAUGUGUGGUGGAAGGAAAGAAUACAUGAUUUUCAGAAAGGUGAAGAUUUGAAACUAUGGAAUAUUUGUCAUGACCCGGAAUUUCCACCCUUGGUACCGUGACAAGUUGGCAUCAGAGCACUAGGUUGCCUAGAUCUCACAACUCAUGAGCAAGCUUGGUAGAGUCUGGAGGAUCGGUAUAGAAAUGCCUGUACUUAUCUUUCAGAGUCUAUAAGGCUUUAGGACAAUUUUACUUCUUUCUUUCUCUAUCGUGCGGUUAUUUCCAUUAUUGAAGUUUGAACCAUUCUACUCUAGUUCUUUUGUAAAUGGUGAGAACUCGCACAACGUCUAUAGUUGGACAGGAGCCAGAUCCCCCUGUUGCAUCCACUACCAGAGGUAGGGAUUGGGGCCGGGGUUGAGGCCGAGGCAGAGGCAAAGCUCAUCCUAGAGCAUGACCAUUAGCAGCACCCAUGGUGGAGCCUCAGCCUGACUAUAAGGCGGAGGUCCCGGUUCAGACCGCACCAGUUGGACCGGCUCAGGUCCUAGGGGGAUUCAUAGCCACUCCAGUACUUCAGGAUACUCUAGUCCGCUUAAGUGUGGCUCAAACCGGAGCAUUUCCUAUGGCACCAGCCAUCUCUCAAGCUGGGGGAGGAGCACAGACUCCCCCUACUCACACUCUGGAGCAGAUGGAUCGCUUAUACCAAACUCCGACAGCUCCAAAAGUUGGAGUAGUUCAGCCCGUAGUUGCUACACAGCCCGGGGAGAGGCUCACGAUGUCUUCUGAGGGAUUGAUAAGGUUGGAUAAGUUCACCAAACUCUUCCCUGUUCAUUAUAGUGGUGCACCCUAUGAGGACCCCCAGGAUUACUUGGACCAUUUCCAUGAGGUGUUGCGUAACAUGGGUAUUGUUGAGACCAAUGGGGUCGACUUUGUAGUGUUCUAGAUGACCGGUUCUGCCAAGAUAUGGUGGCAGGAUUUUGAGCGGAAUAGACCAGCUAGUUCACCUUCACUUACAUGAGAUCAGUUUUUGCAGCUAUUUUUGGAGAAUUUUAUUCCUUUCACUCUAAGAGAGGAGUACCGUAGGCAGUUAGAGUGCCUCCAGCAAGGUGGCAUGACCUUCACCUAGUACGAGACUAGAUUUUAUAGACUUAGCCCCUCAUGCAUCUAUGUUGAUUCCUAUAAAUAGAGAGAGGGUGAGGAGGUUUAUUGAUGGUCUUACCUUCGGCAUCAGGAUUCAGAUAGCCAAGAAGACGGAAGAUGAUAUUUCUUUCCAGAGAGCCGUAGAGAUUGCUAUAUGGAUUGAGAUGGUUCGUGGUCAGGAUAGAGGAUCGAUAUCUGAGAAGGGGACCCUCAUUUUGGUGGUUUCAGUUGUGCCUUAUCUGGAAACAGAGGUUCUUUUGGUAGAGGCCAUCCUCCUAGGCCGAUUCAGUAAGCUCUUUAGGUAGCCCACAGUGCUUCGGGCGGUCGUGGUUCUUAUGGGUCUCAUCCUGAACAACCAGCAUUCAGUGCACCUUCAGCUCCUAUUAGUGCACCACCACUUCAAAUAUAAUACAUCGGCUAUCCGGGCCAUCAGGGUCAGUCUCAGCUUCGGUAGCCUCAGCAGCCGAGGGAGUACUUUGAGUGUGGGGGAAUAGGACACAUCAGGAGGUAUUUCCUUAGAUUGACGAGCAGCAGACCUCCGCAGGGUUCUCGUUCCAUCAUGCCGGCACUGGUUGCUUCACUGCCCACACACCCAGUUAGAGGCGGGGGUCAGGUUGUUAGAGGUGGAGGUCAGGCCAUUAGAGGUGGAGGCCAGCCAGCUAGGGGUCGCCCGAGGGGCAGAGGUAAGAGUGGUGGGGCCUCGCCCCAUUUUUAUGCAUUCCCAACUAGACUUGAGGCAAAGUCAUCUGACGCCUUCAUCACAUGUAUUGUUCUAAUUUUCCAUAGAUAUGCUUCAGUUCUAUUUGAUCCGAGCUCUACUUAUUCCUACGUUUCAUCCUAUUUUGCUUUAUAUCUGAAUGUGCCUCGUGAUUCUUUGAGUGAUCAUGUAUAUGUAUCCAUACUUGUGGGAAAUUCUAUUGUUGUAGAUCGUGUUUAUCACUCGUGUGUGGUUUCUAUCGAGAGCCUAGAGACUAGUGUAGAUCUCAUACAUCUUGAUAUGGUAGACUUUGAUAUUAUUUUGGGUAUGGAUUGGAUGUCACCUUAUCAUACUAUAUUGGACUCCACGCCAAGAUGGUGACCUUAGCCAUGUCGGGGUUGCCCCGAUUAGAGUGGAGGGGGACUCCUGGCCACUCUACUAGCAAAGUUAUUUCUUAUGUGAAGGCUCGGCAUAUGGUCGAGAAGGGAUGUCCAGCAUAUUUGGACUAUGUUUGCAAUUCUAGUGCGGAGGUUCCUUCCAUGGAUUCAGUACCUGUUGUGUGUGAGUUUCUAGAGGUGUUUCCUGCUGACCUGUCGGGGAUGCCACCCGACAGGGAUGUUGAUUUUUGUAUUGACAUGGCUCCGGGCACUCAGCCCAUUUUUAUUCCACCAUACCGUAUGGCGCCACUUGAGUUGAAGGAACUGAAGGAGUAGCUGCAGGAUUUGCUUGAUAAAGGAUUCAUUAGACCCAGUGUCUCGCCCUGGGGUGCUCCAGUGUUGUUUAUGAAGAAGAAAGAUGGUUCAAUGAGGAUGUGUAUAGAUUAUCGGCAGUUGAACAAAGUCACCGUCAAGAACAAGUAUCCAUUGCCGAGGGUUUAUGACUUAUUUGAUCAGCUUCAGGGUGCCAAAGUAUUUUUGAAGAUUGAUUUACGAUCUGGCUACCAUCAAUUGAAGAUUAGGGAAUUAGAUGUCCCUAAGAUAACUUUCCGAACUCGGUACGGGCAUUAUGAGUUCCUAGUGAUGUUAUUUGGCUUGAAAAAUGCCCCCGCAGCAUUUGUGAAUUUGAUGAAUCGGGUAUUUAAGCCAUAUUUGGAUUCUUUUGUGAUCAUAUUCAUUGAUGAUAUCUUGAUCUACUCUUGCAGUCGAGAGGAGUAUGAGCACCAUCUUCAGGUGGUACUUCAAACCCUGAGAGAUAGUCAGUUAUAUGCCAAGUUUUCAAAGUGCGAGUUUUCGUUGGACUCGGUUGCCUUUUUGGGACAUGUUGUAUUCGUAGAGGGAAUUAAAGUGGAUCCUAAGAAUAUUGACAGUUCAAAACUGGCCUAGACCUACUUCAGUUACAGAGAUUCGGUGCUUUCUGGGUUUGGCGGGUUAUUAUCGCUGGUUCGUGGAGGGGUUUUCAUCCAUCGCAACCCUAUUGACUAGAUUGACCCAGAAGGGUGCCCAAUUUAGGUGGUCUGAUGAGUGUGAGUUGAGCUUUCAGAAGCCCAAGACUGCCUUGACUACAAACCUAGUGUUGGUGUUUCCCACAGGUUCAGGAUCCUACACGGUGUAUUGUGAUGGAUCACGUAUUGGGCCCGGUGCAGUAUUGAAGCGGGAUGACAGGGUGAUUGCAUACACGUCACGACAGUUGAAGGUUCAUGUCACGACUCAAAUCCAUGUGACUGGCACACUACUCGAUCCGAGCAAACCAAUCCAUAUGACAAAACCAAAUAUAAUUGCGGAAGCCAAUUGAAAAUCUUGUACAUUUUCAAAUCAAGUCACAAAAUAUUUUUCAUUUCCAAAAUCAUACAUGAAGCUUUUCAUAAAAAUGAUAUAAUCAAAUUAAAUAAUUAUUCGUUUAUGCAAGACGUCCACAACACUAGGUUUUUAUAAUCCAACACAACUAUCUAUGGAGCCUCUAUACCAAAGAAUAGAACCAACACUUGUAAUAAUUCCAACAACAACAAAAAUAACAUGACAACUACCACGAAAUAAAAGUGGUGCUUCAUCAUACCUCGAAAAGAGAGUCGUCCUAGCAAUGUCCACACAUCACAUGUCGUACCUUAUCCUGAAACACGCAAAGAAAGCGGGACCCUGAAGAGGGGCCGCUAAGGGCUAAGUAUACCACGAUGGUACUCAAUAAGUGUCAUAGACUCUAUCUAACUUACGUCCUUGGGGACAAACAUUAUAAAAAUAAUUCACCAAUAUUUGAUAUAAAACGAUAAGAAAUUUUAUCAAUUCAUGAUCUUUAUCAUUUUAAAUAAAAGACAAGUGAAAUAUAACCAAAAAUAUAAACUUUUAAAACAUUUAUAUUAAUCCAAGAUUUUGAAUAAAAUCAUACAAAAUCAUUCCAUUUGCUUUAAGUCAUUGAAAUUAAUUUUGGCUCCUUAGGCCUAAACAUAAGAAAAUCACCUUUACCUUUGACUGGGAGUACUAUACCAUCACCGACACAAGAAGGUCAACCAGGUUAAGUACCUAGCGGCAAGUAUCAUAUACCCUACUUGCUCAGCUCGUCUCAUCGUAGUGUCGUAUGAAUUGAUUCAGCCAUGCUAAUAAUAGCACAAAAUAGUACCCUCUCAUGGGAGAGCACUCUGCCGUAGUCUAUACCACAAAGUGGUCAUCUACGCCUACACCGGUACGUGUAGUUUCAUGACGACGAACACAAUAUAUCUGAAGCCAAUCUCGGUGAACACAAGUAACUCCCAAAAUAUUUGAUACUCCAAAAAUAGAUUCAUCGCAUAGUAGCAUCAAAGGAUCUAUUUUUUUUUUUAUCAAAUCAUAGCAUUAAUAGAAAAUCUAAACUAUUUGAACAAAAAUUAAUUAAACAACCUUUUACAUGUUAAAGCCUUUAGCAAUUUAAUAUCAAUCUUUAAAAAGAUGCUACAAGUGCUAUUCUAUUUAUUGAUUUUUAAAAGAAAUACUUUUCAUGAAAACUUAUCUUUAGCACUAAAAUAUGUAUACUCUUAUGAUUACGUAAAUUUUGAUUAUAACAUAUAACAUUUACCUUAAGUGUCAUUUUGCCAACAAGAUUUAAAAUAAAGUUUUAUAAAACAACAUGACACUACAUAUGCAACAUAAUAUUUUAGUACAUGAAAACAUCUGUACUUAUUUGUUCCCACAAGCACGAAAGCACAUUGGCAAACAAUUUAAGCAUUAACUCGAAACAUGCUAGAGAAAAUCCCUCAAGAAGAGUAAAUUUUAAUCAACUUACCUCGUUUUCGCUUUAAUAACAUUCUCAAACUUUUAAUCCUCCUCCGACAUCCUAACAUUGAGUAAAAUGCUCAGACGCCACCAACAAAUUGAUAUCUACAAUUACAUAUCCCAAUUACAAUUAAAAUAUGACUAAAAAAUAUUUAGGCCAAAUAUAUAUACAGCCCAUUCAACUUGACUCCGUUUUUCAUUUUGGCACUCUAUCUCAACCUUGUUCAAUUUUGGCCCUCCAACUCUAUUUCUUAUGUUUCAUUUUAACACAAAAGCUGAAACCAAUGCAAAAAGAAUAGCGCGUGUGUAUAUACAAAUCUGAGGUGUAAUAAAUAUCCAAUUAAAUAUUGCUCAUUCUUGUCAAACGGGUCAAUACUAAAAUACCCGACCCAGAUUUCUUGGUGUCCAUGAUACUUUCAAUUCAACUUGAAGUCCACAAAAACAAAUAUCAAUUUCAUUACGAAAAAAUAAUUUUCUUUGAGACAUGGAUUCACUUCAAACUUCAAGUUUAUAUGAAAUAAAGGAUGAAAAAACCAUGUGGCAACAUUUAAUUGGAUAUUUAUUACACCUCAGAUUUGUGUAUACACAGGCGCUAUAUUUUUUUGCACUGGUUUCAGCUUUUGUGUUUAAAUGAAAUAUAAGAAAUAGAGUUGGAUGGCCAAAAUGGAACAAGGUUGAGAUAGAGUGCCAAAAUGAAAAACGGAGUCAAAUUGAAUGGGAUGUAUAUGUAUUUGGCCAAAUAUUUAUCAAUAUCCAUUUAUGCCUCACAAGUUGGCUACAAACCUCCAGCUCAAAUCGUCCAAUAGGUUCACUUACUAGCACAUUCAACUCCACUCUUAUCAUUUAAUACGCAUUUUAAGUCAUCAAUGUUAUUACAUUAAUUCUCCAACACCACCAAAUUACUAUUUAUCGUUUUCCUUAACCAAAAUUUCCAAAACAUUCAAUUUGGUAAUUACUUUGUUGAACACUUCCCAUUUAGCUAGAAAAUGAUUCCAUAGGUUCAUUGCAUCCUUUAAUUUUAUUUCUAAGAACACUAUUUAUCUUCCCCUCAUUUUCUCAUGAACACUAUUCAUGCCAUGAACUAGGGCUUAUGAAAUCAAUUAUCCAAACCAUAACAACUUGAAACAAAUAUUAUAAUUACUCUCACCGAUUCAUAAGAAAUGAGUUUGAAGCAUUAAGAUUACUUUCUUGAAGCUUUUUCUUGAAAAUCCAAAGUUUGGAAAAUUUGGUAUUCUUGAACAACUUGAAAGAUUUCUAGGGAUUUCAAAGAUUAAAUGAUGUUAAUACUAGUGUUAAUAAGAUGUUAUUAACUUAAAAUAUCCAUAAAAACUCACCUUAUAUUCUUAAGUAGUCCCCAAGGUUGAAUCCAUCAUGAAAGAACCAAUCCCUAGCUCAAAACUAAUCCCCAAAAAUGGCUGCUGCCCGUGACCGCCUUAUAUAGGCACACGUGCUUCAGCGAGUUGUACCUUGCGCUGUGCAUGUUUUACCUCGUAUUCCAAGUUUUUCCAUGCUGGACACCAUUUACUAAAACGUCCAUAACUCCUUGUAGAAAUGUCCAAAUGACAAACGGUUUGAAGAGUUAGAAACUAGACUCGAAGAUCUUUCAUUUGAUAGGUUGUUUACCACAUAACACCUUAUAGAUAUGCUCUCCCAAAGUUAGGUCUUGUGCGUACUCAUUUGGAUCUUUCAUUUGAUAGGUUGUUUACCACUUAAGAACGUUCGUCCUCGAAUGUUUUAUAAGUUAUUCUUACGCAAGAAGUUAUCCUCCUUUUUUUCUUAAAUAAUCAUCCUUAAUCAUACGUUGCUUCAUAUUGAUCUUACAUUUUAUCUCCAAAAUCUCAACUCCCAUAUACUUCAAAAUUUAGCUAACUCUUCAAAUUCUUAAAACUUUCGGCAUAGUUUUCCCUGUAGUUGGGACUAUCCAAAAAUUUCAACCUGUCAAGAAUAAUCUCUCACACGGGCACCAACAAUAACAUAGCUCAAUAACCAACAAUAUAUAAUAUAAUGUACCAUCUUGGCCCCACCCAGCCGUACAUAUACCAUAAGCACAUCAAAUGUAAAUCUUUAAAACUAUUAACCUGUAACAUACAUCAAUACGAUUCAAUAUCAACAAUAGCUACUAAAUAGCUCUCAUAUUACUACUGUACAUGCCUUCAUUUUCUUUAGACAUGCAUACGUCAAGUUGUACCUGAAAAGUAUCUUCAAAUAAACCAAAAUUCUCCCUGUGAUUGGACUUUCUUAUUUAUUUAUUUUUUGAGAUAAAAGAAUAUACAAAUUUCCAUGUUGCCUUAAGUUCAGCUUGCUCGAGGCUAUAGCUCAUGCUUGAUAAGAGCGAAGUUAUAUUGCUGUCACGACCCAAAAUUUCCUCCGUAGGAUAUCGUGUCGGCACCUAGUCUCUAAGACUAGGUAAGCCUAACAAUAUGCGGAAACAUUAAAUAAGAGAUUAAAACUUGAACAUCCCAACAAUUUCAAAAAUAAAAUCUACCAAAACUCAAUAGGUACAAUCCCAAAACCUGGUGAGAUAU
rnacentral:lncRNA from 1 species